rnacentral:rRNA from 1 species
GACGAACGCUGGCGGCGUGCUUAACACAUGCAAGUCGAACGGAAAGGCCCUGCUUGCAGGGUACUCGCGUGGCGAACGGGUGAGUAACACGUGGGUGAUCUGCCCUGCACUUCGGGAUAAGCCUGGGAAACUGGGUCUAAUACCGGAUAGGAGCCAUUUUUAGUGUGAUGGUUGGAAAGUUUUUUCGGUGUAGGAUGAGCUCGCGGCCUAUCAGCUUGUUGGUGGGGUAAUGGCCUACCAAGGCGGCGACGGGUAGCCGGCCUGAGAGGGUGGACGGCCACAUUGGGACUGAGAUACGGCCCAGACUCCUACGGGAGGCAGCAGUGGGGAAUAUUGCACAAUGGGCGCAAGCCUGAUGCAGCGACGCCGCGUGGGGGAUGACGGCCUUCGGGUUGUAAACUCCUUUCGCUAGGGACGAAGCUUUUUGUGACGGUACCUAGAUAAGAAGCACCGGCUAACUACGUG